rnacentral:misc_RNA from 1 species
AGCAGCCGCGGUAAUUCCAGCUCCAAUAGCGUAUAUUAAAGUUGUUGCAGUUAAAAAGCUCGUAGUUGAAUUUCGGAAUCUGUCCAUCGGUCGGGCUUCACUGUCCGUACUGGUGUGGUGGGUUCUUACCUUCUGAAUAACCAGCAUGCCAUUCACUUGGUGCGCUGGGGAAGCAGGACUAUUACCUUGAAAAAUUAGAGUGCUCAAAGCAGGCUAGUGCCUGAAUACAUUAGCAUGGAAUAAUAAAAUAGGACGGCAUGGUUUUAUUUUGUUGGUUUCUAGGAUCACCGUAAUGAUUAAUAGGGAUAGUUGGGGGCAUUAGUAUUCAAUUGUCAGAGGUGAAAUUCUUGGAUUUAUUGAAGACUAACUUCUGCGAAAGCAUUUGCCAAGGAUGUUUUCAUUAAUCAAGAACGAAAGUUAGGGGAUCGAAGACGAUCAGAUACCGUCGUAGUCUUAACCAUAAACUAUGCC